rnacentral:lncRNA from 1 species
AGAGCGAGAGACGGCAGUGGAUCCAUAAUUCUAGGUUUAGGUUCAGAAUGGUGUUCGACUUCACCUUCAAGCACAAAACUGUCUUCUUCGCCACGUGCGGUGGUGAUAAAGGAUUGCACGAAAUCGAUGCCAAAGAACCCUAGAAGGUAGAUGAACGAGGCAAUGAGGGAGACGAUGGCGGCCAGCUCCGAGAGCGUCACGACAUGGAGCGGCGUAGACGACCGGAUCUUGUCACGCCAACGGUGAAGAAGGUAGUAGGCAACAGAGAAGAACAAAGUGAAGAAAAUGCCAUUUGUUAGGUAAAGAGGAAGCGGUAAUGCAUCCGACGCUUUAGGAACUGGCGACGGUGAGCGAUCAAUAACACCGGCCUUCGUGGAGGAAGGUGACCGAUCUUCACCG